AUGAAUGCAAGUGGUAGGAGGGGGCCAUCUCUGUCGCUUGCUCUUUCUGUGUGGCGGGUAGUAAAAAGCAUUAAGAAUUGUGUGGUAAAAAAGUGGGAGUAUGAAAAGAGAAAUGGAAUGUUGCCGUUGUGCUGGAUGGAGCCAGAGGCAGAGCGAUGGCAACGGCUAGCUCGCGCGCGUGCGGCAGAUGGCGGGGCCUCCUCUCCUCUGCUCCCCGCUCCCUCGUCGUCGCAGUCAGGGAAGGAAGCCGAGCGAGCGGGUCAAGCGCUGCAACGCGAGCCAGGGAGGAAACGGACGCUCCAGAAGCUGUUCGUUCCAGGACAAAAAAUAAAUGAAAUAAAAUACUACUCCAAUCUGAUUGGAGGCUCGAGGAGGCGAUCGGCGCCGGCGGCCCGCGCCAACGAGACCGAGACCCACCCCACGACGAGCCGCGCCGCUGUUUAUUUAUAA
rnacentral:rRNA from 1 species